CGCUAGUAACUUCCUCUUUAUUACGCGAGCCAGGGCAAAGCAGGCACUUGUAAGCCGCCAUGCCCGUUGCCAGGAGUUGGGUCUGUCGGAAGACAUACGUCACCCCGCGCCGUCCCUUCGAGAAGUCCCGUCUCGACCAGGAGUUGAAACUCAUUGGUGAGUAUGGAUUGAGGAACAAGCGAGAGGUGUGGAGGGUCAAGUUCACCCUGGCCAAGAUUCGUAAGGCUGCCAGAGAGCUGCUCACUCUGGAUGAGAAGGAACCAAAGCGUCUGUUCGAAGGAAAUGCCUUGCUCAGGCGUCUGGUGCGUAUCGGCGUGUUGGACGAGGCGAAGAUGAAGCUGGAUUACAUCCUGGGUCUUAAGGUUGAGGACUUUUUGGAGAGGAGGCUGCAGACUCAGGUUUUCAAGCUCGGACUGGCCAAGAGCAUCCACCACGCCCGCGUGCUUAUCCGCCAGAGGCACAUCCGAGGACUGCUGGCUUUUAACCGCUGAGAUGGGUUAAAUAUAUCAUCAAGGUCAAUGCGGUAUCAAAGCCGUAUACCUUGUCAGUAAAGCAUUGCUCAGAGCCAAUCCUGCCAACGAGCGCUCGGACUGACGCCGUGGCUGUUAGUGUGCGCAAGCAGGUGGUGAACAUCCCCUCCUUUGUGGUCCGCCUGGACAGCCAGAAGCACAUCGACUUCUCCCUCAGGUCCCCGUACGGCGGUGGACGUCCGGGCCGCGUCAAGAGAAAGAACUCCAAGAAGGGCCAG